GUGGAUUUUUGAAUGAUCCGACAUGAGUAUAACAAUAUUUUUGAAGAGUUCGAGUAAUGUAGAACAGUAGCAAACAAUAAUUUCAACAGGCUUCUAACAUCUGUAUUUGCUAGGUAAUCCUUGCAUAAUAAACUAUCUUUUCCUUUCUACUGAACUACUCCUAUUAUCUAAGUGAACAGCAUUGCAAUUCUUAUUCCUUGCAGCACAUUUUCUUAUUGCACCCCACUUAGCUUAGCCCAUUCCACAAACUGCAUACCUCCAUAAAUAUUGUUAGCGAAUCGUACACCCACGGUGAAGGCCAAGGCAACAGGGGGAACGCGUUUGGCCACAGGCGAUGCUUCAACUAAACGCUCUAAUCCGUUUAUAAUUUGGUAUCGGGUAUUCGAAGAGACUGCCAGAAAGAAUCCCCAAAGUGCAGCACUUCCUAUUAAAGGAGGGACAGGUAUGUCCUCUUCUGACUUCUUGAUGCUCCUCUUAGCAGUCAUUAUCAAAUUUGCAAUGCCCUGACCAACAAGGCCGCACCCAAAUCCAACUGAGCCAUACAAAAAUCCCUUGUAAAAGAACGUUGAAAUACGCUGCUGCAAUGUAAAUUUACACCCCGGCCUCUCAGCUUCAAAAACACUGCUGGGAAGAGCUCCACAAGCAUGUCGAAAGCGUCCAAAAGAGCUGCUUGAAACAGACUGCUUGCCUAUUCGGACAUAAGGAGCCAACAUACCUACCAAUGCAAUGUCAACAACAAUUCCAACAAGAAGAUCUGCCGCAUACAACUCAAACUCUGCCCAGAAAUCCUUUCCCCUUUUCUGAACCUCUGCAAAUGUUGCACAACAGGAGUCGAUGACAAUCUCUGUUCCGACUUUAAACAAAAACGACGGAUCAGCAAGCAUUCGAUUUCUCAGCAUUGAGCAAUGUCUCAUUAAGAAUCCUAGCGGCCAAGCUGAACCCUGCAUAUCCAAGUAACGACUAAGAAUCAAUCUCCGAAUCCCUGUAGUUUUAGCAGCUUCCAACAUAUCAAUAGGCAAUUUCGCCCCCAAUUUUUCAGCCUCUUUAACCACCUCAUCAAACUUCACUAUCGGCCCAAACUCUUUUUCAUCAUAAUCACCACCGCCGUCACCGUCAUCUCCGCCGCCGUUGUUGUCAGAUGGAAACCCACCUUUUCCGUUACCCCCAUCACCUCCGUCAACAGUUCUAACGAUGGAUUCUUGUCCAGUACAUGUAAUUCUGAAAAAUCGAUCAGUUUUCAUAAUCGAUUGUUGUAAAGAUACAAACUUUGAGAGAUUUAAGCCUUUGAAUUGUGGAAUUUGGGUUGUGUUUGAAGAAAUCGAAAGAUUUGAUAUAUGAGAAAGUGAU
rnacentral:misc_RNA from 1 species